rnacentral:rRNA from 1 species
UACGUAGGGGGCAAGCGUUGUCCGGAUUUAUUGGGCGUAAAGAGCUCGUAGGUGGUUCGGUAAGUCGGAUGUGAAAUCUCCAGGCUCAACCUGGAGGGGGUCAUUCGAUACUGCCGUGACUAGAGUUCGGUAGGGGAGUGUGGAAUUCCUGGUGGAGCGGUGAAAUGCGCAGAUAUCAGGAGGAACACCCGUAGCGAAGGCGGCACUCUGGGCCGAUACUGACACUGAGGAGCGAAAGCGUGGGGAGCGAACAGG